rnacentral:misc_RNA from 1 species
CAACCCCUCCAGCUUGCUGGGUCUUGGGCCUUCGCCUCCGGGCGGGCCUUAAAAUCAGUGGCGGCCCUGCCGGGCCCUGAGCGCAGUAACUUCUCUCGCUACAGGGUCCCGACAGGUGCUGGCCAGCAACCCCCAUCUUUCUAAU